CCCUUAGAUGUUCUGGGCCGCACGCGCGCUACACUGACGAAUGCAACGAGCUUAUAACCUUGGCCGAAAGGUCUGGGUAAUCUCCAAAUUUCGUCGUGAUGGGGAUAGAUUAUUGCAAUUAUUAAUCUUUAACGAGGAAUGCCUAGUAAGCGCAAGUCAUCAGCUUGCGUUGAUUACGUCCCUGCCCUUUGUACACACCGCCCGUCGCUCCUACCGAUUGAAUGGUCCGGUGAAGCGCUCGGACCGCGGCCUCUUGACGGUUUUCCGUCGAUUGGCUGUGGGAAGUUCGUUAAACCUUNUNAUUUAGNGGAAGGAGAANUCGUANCA
rnacentral:rRNA from 1 species